UAAGGUCCAGUAGAUCACCUAAUCCAUUCAUUUCUACAAUUCAGAGCAAUAUUCUAACCGAAUUUCUUAAAUGUUUCAUCCACUACUAUUCAACAACAUAUGAAUUGUUAGCUCACUUACUUGCUUUGACAAAUUAUUCUUCUGCCUUGAAUAUACAUUGUUGUAACUUUCCCUAUGCUAGUGUUUAUUUUUAAUUUCUUACUCUGUUUACUUAUUAACCAACUUUAUUACACCACUAAUACUUGCCCUUUUUUUACACAGGCAUGAACUCUGGACUUUGAAAAGCAGAAGCAGCAGUUCAUUUUUUGUUUUUGUUUCUAUGGCUUGCAUUCUGAUAACCUGCUAUGCCAGAAUAAGUAUUAAAGCCUUUGUACAUGAAUAUAUUUUGUUUCAAGAUGCAAUUGAGAAUUAUAAUGCACAGAAAUAAUCUGUUUGGAAAAAUAUAUAUAUGUUAUUUUCCCAUCAUGAAGUUACAACGAAGUACUUAUCAUUAAUAAGUAGAGCACCUGGACUACUGAAACAGACUCUUCCUCCAAGAAGAAACACAAGUUUUUGACACUUGUGCAAGAACAUGCCUAGCACCAUUUCAGUGGGCCUUGCUAGGUUUCUCCGUGUGGGGCAUGAGGAGGUGUGGACCAGCCACGCGGCCCAGCGUGGGACUUGUGCCCAAGGUGCUCCUGCUGCGCUGAGGACCAGGGUUUUGCCUCGGGAGCGGGCCCCCGACGAGGCUGGAGGCCAGGCAGCGCAGGGAGCUCACGACUUGCUGUCUUCAACUACAGCCAGUUGUGAAUGCCAAGAGUACACUGCUACCUCCCUGAUAAAUUCUUCUGUCUUCAGCAAAGGAGAAUGCAUAUAAAGCUUGUCAGAUCUGAGGUGAGUAUUUUCAUGUUUAUAACAUCUCUACUGUUUCUUCCCUGUAGUUAAUCAGUAUAGAUAAGUAUUUGCUUUGUAAUGGAUUUUUUGAAUUUCAAUUAUCAGCUAAGGAACUAUCAGUUCCUUAUACCUAAGCAUUUUUUCAGCUUAUAUUUCAACUUUUGACUUACAGUAUUAAGUUCUAAACAUAAUAGGAGAUGGUAAGUAAUUUAAAAAUGCAUAAUGUUACAUUAUUGAGUCCUCUUCAUAAUGUAAUUUUCUGAAGAGGACUGCUUUUUUAGAAACACGUAUAACCUAAGGGAACAGAUCUUUCCUUUUUUUAGGCCAGAUUGAGCUUUCUAAAAGUUACAAUGUCAGUACUUUGAGUAAAUGUACGUAUUAUUUUCAGCCAUUAAAAUGGAACAAAUGCUGCUAGUUACCCUCUUCCCAAAAAGAAGUAUUUCAUUUCUUUGUGGUUUUGCUCUAGUUUAUUUUUGCUUCAGUUCACCAGGCACUGUUAGAACAUUUUCAUCAUUUGAAAUAGUUAUUUCAAAAUUGAGCAACCUAUUUGGAAAAGAGAAGCAAAGUUUCGUCUCUCUUAAUUGCAAACUAUGAGUAAAAAAUGACUGGAAGGGCUAUCAUUUAACAACUCUAAAUACAUGGGAAAAUGUACCAUACUUUCAAGAUUGUUUUUGACACCAAGUACAUACAGAAUUCUUCAUAGAGCAGAGCAAAGUCACAUCCCAUAGACCCAAGCUUGCAGUCAGUUGAAGGGAUGAUAAAUAUUAAUUUAUCCUAUUGAUUUCAGUAAGAGUGAGGUGUUUAUCCUACUCGGAUGCCUAAACUGAUUUUUCAAAAGGUGCUUCCAUGUCUUGCAGAAAAUCUGAGGAAUAUUGAGCAAAAAGAAUAACCCACUACUUUGAGAGUUAUACUUUUUUCAUCUGUAUCAGAAGUAUUUUAGAUACUCAUUUAAGUCAUGUAAAACAAGAUUCAAAUACUCUUAAAGCAUGUUAUUCCAUUCUCUUUCCUUCAGAAUGGAGACUGACAAGAAUUGUAAGCAAAAUACAAAACAAAAACCGGCAAGCAAAAAUAAUCAUCAUUCACAAUCUCCUAGACUAUCAGUUAAGAAUCUGAGUCUAUAAGUACAUUAUAUAUUUUCCUGCUUAGAAAUAUGAAAACGUAUGUUUAAUGUUAGGGUUUCCGUCACUUGAAUUUUUGUGUUGUUUUUUUUUUAGUGGUAAUGUGAACUAGAAAAAAUUACCUUUUCUUAAGAAAAUAACUGAGAUAUAAACUGAAAUAAAAUAAAGGUCCUUGAUUUAAAUCGGUGUUUUUUUCACUCACUGAUAUUUAAUUCAGGACAAAAUGUGACUUAAAUUUCUUUGAGAUAAAUUAUUCUGUCCCAGUUCUUGGACGCCAGCAUACCUUCGAUAUGAGCACUGAGCUGUUAGGAUAGGUACUGGCAAAAGCGUUCAGAUCCUAGAAAGCGCAGAAGAUAGCUACUAGCCCUCCAUCUCAAUGAGUCAUGUUAUUGUUGAAAAGUCACUUUGACUAAGUGUAAUACAGAGCUUGAGUUAGCUUUCUCAACGUUUAUACAUUAGUUUGCAUUCAAUGUAGUGAUUAUUGUGUUUUUGUUAAAGUUGUCAUAUAUGCACAGCACAUAAAUUUGCAUUAUAGUGAAGUCGUUCAUUUUUACCUGUAUGAAACCUACUAGAAAACUACUUUGUCCUUAUGAUGACCCAAUUGUCUUGAAAUCACACACAUUUUAAAAUAAGACCUGAAAUAUUUAUGUCAUUUAAAUUAAGCAAAAUAAUCUACAGGCAUCCAUAAAAUGUCACAAAUCUGAGAGUCAUUUUCAGUUACACAAGGGCAGAAGAUGAGUGGGGGUUUGUCCUUAAGAAAGAGAGAGAGAGAGAGAGAGAAAAGAAGGAAUUGUUUUAAAAGUAGAACAUUGGAAAAGUUUUACAAAGAUUCCCUUGCAAAAAAUGUCACAUAGACGCUUGGAGAAUAUGUGUAUUAGUAGUAAAUAUGCUCUAGACCUUCCUAUUGUAUCACCAUACAUUUAUAAUAUGUUCAGGCACUGUUUGACAACCCCUAGCCAACAUAAUAAAUGUUAGUAGCAUAGGGUUUCUUGAACACAAUACACAAGUCAAGUGUAUUUGAGUAUGGAAUAGUAGAAGAAAGAGAGUAGAAAAAUGAGUAAAGCUGUCUGGAGUACAUAUCUUCAGGUAUCCAACAGCUGAAAACUGGUUUCACAAAGCUAAAGUUAAAUGUGUAUAUUAGAAAGAAUAGCUUCGCUUUGUGUUCUGGUCAGCUAGAGAGAACCGAUCAGAACAAAGCUCCCAUCUUUGUCAGCCCCAGCAUGUACAUCACAUAUAUACAUACACUAUGUUUCUGGUGAGAGGAAUAAGCCAGUCCCCCUCAUUGAACAGGAGUGUGAGGGCAGAGACUUCCCCCGUCUCUCUCAUCAUUCAGGAGCGCUAGACCCCAAAUGCUUCAUCACAUCUUGAAAAACUUUACAUCGAAAAAUUCCAGCUUUUCUGGAAGGAUGAGGGUGUUCCUGAGAUAAAGUUGUUAGUGAAGAUUUCUCCCAGAAUCAGGCCAAAUUUCAUAUUUUCAUUGUAUUUUCUUCAAGUUUUAUUGUAGUAUACUGUGAUAAGCUUGUGUUUCAACUUCUGCAGAAAAUGACUGCUGAACUGACUCCUUAAAAUCUUUUUAAUCUCAAAGGUAUCUACACAGUCUUCAUGAAGGUUAUCUAUUAGAAACCAUUAGGCUUUUUGAGAUUGAAGUCGAUCCAAGAAAAUCCCAUUUUCACUUCAAAAAGAAUUCAAGAAUCUCCUCUCUGGGACUGAAGGGAAACUUCUUGGAUUGUAUUUAGGGAGGAAGCUUUAGUUUUCUUCAAAAUAAAUUAAGUUCUGAUACACUUCCACUUGAGGCUUCUUUGGUUUGCAAGACUAAAGUCUUUGUCAGAAAUCUGCUCAACAACAACCACUUUCUUCAACAAUAUUUAACAGUAUCAUACAGCCUACUGGCCAGCCACAGACCGAAGCUAGUUCAUUUGUAUGCAGAAGCACCCUUUAGUACACUCAGGCAUAUAGAGGUAACUCAGCAAACUAGCCAACAGACAGAGAUUCAUUUAUUCAAAGCCAUUUUGGUAAUGGAAAGUUGGCCUGAUUUCUGGAAAACAGACCUUGGUUCCUAAAUUUCUGGGCUAUAAAAAUAACACUAAAAGCUUUGCUGAGAGUUCAUAAAAUGUCAUGUUUUUUAAACGGCACCUACUUGACUCUCCAGCCUGCUCCACAUUCCAGCAGAUUUCUGUGUUGGCCAUGCCAUCUCCAGCAUCUUGCCUCCUGGGACAUUACUCAGAAUAGCACAGAAUCUGA